AGAGUUUGAUCAUGGCUCAGGAUGAACGCUGGCGGCGUGCUUAACACAUGCAAGUCGAACGGAGGCAAUGUUUUCGGACGUUGCCUUAGUGGCGGACGGGUGAGUAACGCGUGAGGAACCUGCCUUUCAGAGGGGAAUAACGGCUGGAAACGGCCGCUAAUACCGCAUAACGCAUAUGGGCCGCAUGGCCUGUAUGCCAAAGAUUUAUCGCUGAGAGAUGGCCUCGCGUCUGAUUAGCUAGUUGGUGGGGCAACGGCCCACCAAGGCGACGAUCAGUAGCCGGACUGAGAGGUUGGCCGGCCACAUUGGGACUGAGAGACGGCCCAGACUCCUGCGGGAGGCAGCAGUGGGGAAUAUUGGGCAAUGGGCGAAAGCCUGACCCAGCAACGCCGCGUGAAGGAAGACGGUUUUCGGAUUGUAAACUUCUUUUCCUGGGGACGAUGAUGACGGUACCCAGGGAACAAGCCCCGGCUAACUACGUGCCAGCAGCCGCGGUAAUACGUAGGGGGCGAGCGUUAUCCGGAUUUACUGGGUGUAAAGGGCGUGUAGGCGGGCUUGCAAGUCAGAUGUGAAACCCAUGGGCUCAACCCAUGGCCUGCAUUUGAAACUGUAGGUCUUGAGUACUGGAGAGGCAAGCGGAAUUCCUAGUGUAGCGGUGAAAUGCGUAGAUAUUAGGAAGAACACCAGUGGCGAAGCGGCUUGCUGGACAGAGACUGACGCUAAUGCGCGAAAGCGUGGGGAGCAAACAGGAUUAGAUACCCUGGUAGUCCACGCUGUAAACGAUGGAUACUAGGUGUGGG
rnacentral:rRNA from 1 species